rnacentral:tRNA from 1 species
ACAUUGGUGGUUCACUGGUAGAACUCCCGCCUUCCCCACGGGAGACCCAGGUUCGAUUUUGGCCAAUGUA